ACUUGGAUAGCUUAAUUUAGAGCAUAACAUUGAAGCUGUUAGUGUGGUAUUAUUACCUUUAAGUA
rnacentral:tRNA from 1 species